AUUGAACGCUGGCGGCAUGCCUUACACAUGCAAGUCGAACGGUAACGCGGGGCAACCUGGCGACGAGUGGCGAACGGGUGAGUAAUGCAUCGGAACGUGCCCAGUAGUGGGGGAUAGCCCGGCGAAAGCCGGAUUAAUACCGCAUACGACCUACGGGUGAAAGGGGGGGAUCGCAAGACCUCUCGCUAUUGGAGCGGCCGAUGUCAGAUUAGGUAGUUGGUGGGAUAAAGGCCUACCAAGCCGACGAUCUGUAGCUGGUCUGAGAGGACGACCAGCCACACUGGGACUGAGACACGGCCCAGACUCCUACGGGAGGCAGCAGUGGGGAAUCUUGGACAAUGGGCGAAAGCCUGAUCCAGCCAUGCCGCGUGCGGGAAGAAGGCCUUCGGGUUGUAAACCGCUUUUGUCAGGGAAGAAAUCUUCUGGGUUAAUACCUCGGGAGGAUGACGGUACCUGAAGAAUAAGCACCGGCUAACUACGUGCCAGCCGCCGCGGUAACAC
rnacentral:rRNA from 1 species